GGGAGUUGCAUUGGUGGGCUCAGAGACAGGUGAAGUGGAAGAGGAGGGAUUUGUGGAACCCGAAAUGGAGGGUGCUGGUGCUAUCGGGUUCUUACAAGCCUGGAGGUUACCAGGCGUGGCACCAUUUGCGUUCUGCUUGUUUUUCUCCAAGCUAGUGGCUUACACAUUUUUGUAUUGGUUGCCCUUCUACUUGAGGCAAACAGUUGUUGCUGGUGUGCAGCUGUCUCACAAAAAUGCUGGGAUCCUUUCGACAGUUUUUG
rnacentral:misc_RNA from 1 species